GUGUGAGCUGCUGUGCCUGGCCUGAUUGGUUGUUUAAUGUGCAAUCCUCUGGGGGUCUUGUUAAAAAUGCAGAUUCUGAUGCAGCAUGUCUGAGAUGUGGCUCCCAUGGGGAGCUCCAAGGUCCAGCCCUCCUUGGACCGCCCUUUGAGUAGUGAGGCUCCAGGAGAUCCCACAAGCUUCCAGAUUUGACAAUUCUGAGCUUCCUCAACUCCAGAGCCAAACCCCUAACCGAAAGUGGGAUCAGA
rnacentral:lncRNA from 10 species